rnacentral:rRNA from 1 species
GACGAACGCUGGCGGCGUGCCUAAUACAUGCAAGUCGAACGCUUCCUUUUCCACCGGAGCUUGCUCCACGGAAAAAGAGGAGUGGCGAACGGGUGAGUAACACGUGGGUAACCUGCCCAUCAGAAGGGGAUAACACUUGGAAACAGGUGCUAAUACCGUAUAGCAAUCGAAACCGCAUGGUUUUGAUUUGAAAGGCGCUUUCGGGUGUCACUGAUGGAUGGACCCGCGGUGCAUUAGCUAGUUGGUGAGGUAACGGCUCACCAAGGCCACGAUGCAUAGCCGACCUGAGAGGGUGAUCGGCCACAUUGGGACUGAGACACGGCCCAAACUCCUACGGGAGGCAGCAGUAGGGAAUCUUCGGCAAUGGACGAAAGUCUGACCGAGCAACGCCGCGUGAGUGAAGAAGGUUUUCGGAUCGUAAAACUCUGUUGUUAGAGAAGAACAAGGAUGAGAGUAACUGUUCAUCCCUUGACGGUAUCUAACCAGAAAGCCACGGCUAACUACGUGCCAGCCGCCGCGGUAA